UGGAAGACUAGUGAUUUUGUUGUUCUGAUGUUGGAUGACAACAAGUCACAGCCGGCCACA
rnacentral:pre_miRNA from 1 species